rnacentral:rRNA from 1 species
UACGUAGGGGGCAAGCGUUGUCCGGAUUUAUUGGGCGUAAAGCGCUCGCAGGUGGUUCGUUGCGUCGUGCGUGAAAGGCCCCGGCUCAACUGGGGAGGGUCGUGCGAUACGGGCGGACUGGAGGCCAGUAGGGGGAUGCGGAAUUCCGGGUGUAGUGGUGGAAUGCGUAGAGAUCCGGAGGAACACCAGUGGCGAAGGCGGCAUCCUGGACUGGUCCUGACACUCAGGAGCGAAAGCGUGGGGAGCGAUCCGG